rnacentral:lncRNA from 1 species
GUUCCCAGGCUAAGGGUCGAAUCGUAGCUACAGCUGCUGGCCUACGCCACAGCCACAGCAACACCAGAUCCAAGCUGCAUCUGUGACCUACACCACAGCUCACAGCAAUGCCGGAUCCUUAACCCAUUGAGCGAGGCCACGGAUGGAACCCACAACCUCACCGUCCCCAGUCGGAUUUGUUUCCACUGUGCCACAACGGGAACUCCUGCGUUUAUACAUCUUGUAACUGCUUCUUGGCUUUAUGCCUUUGCAGCUUACCAAAGGUUCAUAGGAACAAUGUACUUUCAGAUUGUUGAGAAACUGGUAGUUAAAUUCAAAUUUUGAAUUUGUUAUGAAGAAAAAAAUUGUGGCCUGGAUUAGUUGGACUCAAGAAGGCUGCCAUAAGGUAGUGUCACUGAUGCAGAAGCUGGAGCAGGGGACCCUCACCACCAGGUCACAGCCCCCCUCCCUCCUUCCUGCCCAAGGCUCUGUCUGUCCCUCAGGGCCUGCUACCUGGCUUGUCCCCAGAGGAGGUGUGGCACACCUGCUUCAGGAAGAAACCCACAUUUAGGAAGUUCCCCUUGUGGCUCAGCAGUAAUGAACCCAACUAGUAUCCAUGAGGAUGCAGGUUCCAUUCAUGGCCUGGCUCAAUGGGUUAAGGAUCUGGCAUUGCUUUGAGCUGUGGUCUCAGACUCAGCUUGGAUCCCUGGGUGCUGUGGCAUAAGCCAGCAGCUCUAACCCCUGGACUGGGAACUUCCAUAUGCUGAAGCUAUGGCCUGAAAAGCAAAAAAAGAAAAAGGAAAGAAAAAAAAAGAAACCCACAUUCCACAUUCAGAGAGAUUUUGUAAUGGCAUUAGCCAGGGUUCUUGAUUGCAGACAAAAGAAACAGGCUGGCUGUUUUAGGCAGGAAAGGAAUGUCUUUCAAAGAUGUGAGGAACUCACAGACUCACUAGGAGAGGUAGAGAACCAGGUGUGCUAGGCGGGCUGGGAUGAGGGAGACCUGACGCCAGGCCUACAGCGGGGCAAACCCGGAAACAGCAGGAGAGACGCUGGUGCUGCUGCCUCCAGGAGCCUGGGUGCCACAGCAUGCCCUCUCAGGCUUGGGGCCCACGCAUCGUCCUGCUCCCUCCAGAAGUUGAGCGCUGCUGCUCAGCCGGCGGUCUUUUGCCUGUGUCACCGGCUUUCAUUCCUAGACAGCGCUUGGGGUUCUGAUUGGUGGAGGCAGCCGUGCUUUCUGCGAGCAAGGCAGCCAAUGGGAGAUCUCCAACACUGCAUCUGGAAAGCACUUGGCCAGGGCUUUUAUGGAUAUUCUGGAAAGUUCAUUUAGUAUAUUGUGUAGGAAUUUUUAUACAGAGGGUAUAUCUAGGAAUAAAAUUGCUUGGCUAUAGAGUUAGAAAUAAAGUGGGGGUUUUAGCUUUUCCACUCUGCAGCUGGCAGAGGCAGAAGCCAGAUGGGAGUGGCUCCUGGGUCCACAGGACGCCUUAAUGGAAAUGAGUUCUGCGGUGUGUGCCCUGGGGCCACCAGUCCGAUUAUAAAGCAUAAAACAAUGCGGUAUACUUAAAUGCAAAAUUAGCUCACCUAUCAAAUUAAAAAGUCUUUCAAAAUACCAUGGUUAUCUAUUGACUAAGCCUUGAGAGAAGCACUCCCACACUGUGAAAGUGAAUAAUUGAUCCAACAUUUCUGGAGGGCAGUAUCCUAAACCCGUGAAAAUAAAGCCCUUUCCUUAGUGGUUUCGUGCCUGGGAAUAGAGCCUAAGGAAAUAAUUAGGGAUGAGGAUAGACUUACAUUAAUAAUAUAGGAUCCAACAUCUACGUGUUGAAAAGGUACCAGUUAGAAUUCAUGCACCUUGUGGAGAACCAGUGCAAUUAGCAGAGGCAAGAAGAUGCCGGUUGGCUCAGUGCAGGGUCUCUACAAAAUGAUUGGGAUCUUUUUCUCUGUUUACAUCCUUCAGUGUCACUUGUGUGUUUUACUUCUGAUUCACGGCAGGAUUUCUAUGGAUGAAAGCAGAUCCCAGGAUUCACGUGUAGUAGCAAAGGGUGAAAAUCUUUUUGUGUUCAUUCAAACGAAAAAAAAAAAAAAAAAAGCCCCUCGGGGUUCUCUUUGAUUGGAUGGGCUGAGGUCACAUGACCACGGAUCAUUGUCCUUGUCCUCCCCCUCCUCCCUUAGGGCUGCAAGAGCAUCUCUACAUCUAGCUUGGGGGAGCCCCACUCACAUAGGGACCCACCUACUAAAAACUGGGACUACUGUAGUCAAAAGGGGGAAAAAAUUCUGGGGAUUAAAUUUAAACCUAAUAAGAAAGGGAAACAAUACACAAGCAUGUAUGGCAGUGAUGUGGGUUGGUUGACUUUUAUUUUCUGCUUUAUAUUUAGAAUCAGAAAAAUAAACCUUUUUAAAAUCACAGAAAAUCAGCAAAGGUAGUGGUGUGGUGGACAAGGUGGUUGUAUAACUUUCUAUAACUCUUUCCUGUGGGGUUGGGGGUAAAGUUGAGGGGUACUGGUGUCCCUCUCUCCCCGGCCUGAGCCACUCCUCACCUUGGUUUCCUGUUCCACCAGCCUGAACAGUCAGGGUCAACAUUGGGACUUAAGCUUGGUGGUUGAGUGACCACCAAGGAGGGCAGUAUCCUAAACCCGUGAAAAUAAAGCCCUUUCCUUAGUGGUUUCAUGCCUGGGAAUAGCUGGUGGCCCUCUUAGGACCAGGAGUGAUGGGAGGACACAGCCAGCACAGGGAAGGUUGUGGUGGGGAGGAGCGGAGGAGUAGAGACUGGGGGCCCUGGUUUAACCACACCCCCCCUCCACUGACCUUUCCAGAACAAGAAACUAUAAAUCCUUUGUUGUCUCAGCCAGUUCGAAUUAAAUUUUCUCUUAACCAAAACUGAUAGACUCAUUUAUUUUGAGUCUACAAUCACCUCUCCUGUAUUUGAGUACAUUUACAGAGGAAAAAAGGGAAACUGCUGGCCUCGUGACUUUAAGGAGAAUGUGGAAGAAGUUGGGGGCGGGGUGACUUCUCCAGGACCAUCUCCAGCCCCCUGUAAGGGACCCUUUGGGAAAUGAGGGGCUCUUUGGGAAAUGCAGCCCCCUCUGGGACUGGAAGGAACACAGCAGCCCCGGAUCCAGGAUGUGCCACAGCUAGUUCUGGGGCUGGCACCAGGGCCAAACUCUGUCUUCUACCCCCAUUUCCUCAUUUCUAAGAUGAAGUUGACAAAAGAACAUAAGCCGAAUCUGAUCUGCCAAACCCAUCUGGGGCGGGUUUAUUUUUCUCUUGCAAAACUGACUUAAGAACAGUUAGAUGCCUGUCCAGCUUCCCUGCUCUCUAAAAAGACAAGGACAACAGAGUCGGCCAAAGGAGUGUCCGGAAAAAUCUGGGCAAGGCUGCAAGGGAUUCACGAUUCAGCUGGUGGACCCCUUGCACCUAGCACACAUUCAUGCUUUUUUGCUGAUUUUGCCAUCAGACCCUGACCCCACUGAGGCAUAUUUUCUGCUGCCUGAGGCCCUGGUUCUCGGUUCCUGAAGAGCACUAUCUCCUCUGGAUCCAGCGAGAGGGUGGAUUGAGGUUAGAUUUCAAUCUGACCAUAAAACCGCACAUUAGGAAAGGUACCUCAUCAAUUAGUUCUAAUUAAUUAUGGACAAAAUACAUCUCCAGCUGUGGGAUGUGGUUUGUUUCCUGUUUGCUAUCAUUAGACAAGUUUAGUGACUGUGUAAAGAGAAAAUGCAGACGUAAAGGGGAGGAAAAAGAGAUGAGGAAAAGCAAGUGGUUAGAAUUAGUAUUAAACGGCAAUAGAAUGGCGUAACCACUACCCACAGAUGUGGAAUCUGCUUCCUUGACACUGAAUAGAGCUCCCCCGGCACUGCUCCAUGUGAGCGGAAGCCUCCUGUCCACAGCUGCUCUUCUCACCCUUGUCAUUUCUAUCAGGCUCCCUACUCCCAGGCAGCAGUCUUCCCCUUGGGAAGCGGGUGCUGGGUGGACUGGUGGCCAUGACAGGGUCUUGUGGCCCCGAGAGCUCCAGUCCCAGAGCUUCUGCCAGCAUGCUGGGGACUCUCCAGUUCAGCCACUGGCUUAGAACAGGUCAGGACAGGGCAGGGGGCUUCCUGGUAGAAAAAAAAUCUGUUACCCCCUCUGUGGCUUCCUUGUAAGGGAGUUGUGCAAAAUUAAUGUCUUUGCCACUGGGCUCUUUCGUGGACACAUUAAACUUGGCCCACUCGUGUCCAAGGUCUGUGAUGUUAGGGUGCUGCUGGGGUGAGCAGUCAGCGCUAGUGAACGUGCAGUGUGGGUGUUUUGGGAUGUGGUACCCAGCUGUGUGAAGUGGCCUGUGCAAGAAGGAAAUGAGUCAGAGCUCAUCACCCCUUUUUGGACCUUGGACAAGUCAUUCGAUCCCUCUGAAUCUCACCCCGCUCAUCUGUACACUGGAGCUUUGAAUGCUGGUCUUGCAGGGAUGCUCUAAGGACCAGUGGAACAGUGAACAGUGUUAGCAAAUAUGGUGCUGAUGUUCAGUGCAUGGAAGCUGUUAGUGUGAUUACAUAUCAAGUGUCCAGGAACCUCUAUUUCUACCCUUUGCAAAGAGUAGUUCUCAGUCCAGAAAGUUUCUUGAUGUUUCUUCUUUGCAAAAGAGCAGUAAUGAGCUGUCCUGCCCAGACUUCUGGCUUGCUGGGGGCAGCAGGAGGUUGCCUCCAUCCCUGAAGUCUGAGAGGGGAAACCUCAAAGACGCUUGCUUCUGCUUGGCUCUGUCUACUGCAGCAGACAGGGAGUUUGCUCUGGACCAGCCUCUGGAGACCCAGACUCUUCACAGCCUGUGACAUGAUACACAGGGACCUGGGACCCUCUCCACUGGGGCGGCUGUAAUGUGAUGGAUUGAUGACUGCAACAUCCUUUGUUUCCUGAUACAGCAGGCAAUAUUUCAGUUCACAAGCUGGCCCUGCUGAUUUUUUUUGGGGGGGGGAGGAUGAGGUUUUAAAUAAUUGAUUCAAAUUAUAAUAGAUACAGGAUUUUUGAGAUCAUCUAUUUCUUCUUGGCUGA